rnacentral:rRNA from 1 species
GAUUGAACGCUGGCGGCAUGCCUUACACAUGCAAGUCGAACGGUAACGCGGGGGCAACCCUGGCGACGAGUGGCGAACGGGUGAGUAACACGUGGGUGACCUGCCCUCAGCUCUGGGAUAAGCCCGGGAAACUGGGUCUAAUACCGGAUAUGACUCCAUGACGCAUGUUGUGGGGUGGAAAGCCUUGUGCGGCUGAGGAUGGGCCCGCCGGCCUAUCAGCUUGUUGGUGGGGNGAUGGCCUACCAAGGCGACGACGGGUAGCCGGCCUGAGAGGGCGACCGGCCACACUGGGACUGAGAUACGGCCCAGACUCCUACGGGAGGCAGCAGUGGGGAAUCUUGCGCAAUGGGCGAAAGCCUGACGCAGCGACGCCGCGUGAGGGAUGACGGCCU